AGGACUAACGCUGGCGGCGUGCCUAACACAUGCAAGUCGAACGAAGUAGCAAUACUUAGUGGCAGACGGGUGAGUAACACGUAGUCAACCUGCCCUUCAAUGGGGGAUAACUAGCCGAAAGGUUAGCUAAUACCGCAUACGAUCUCUGAGUGGCAUCACUCGGCGAUGAAAGGAGUAAUCCGUUGAAGGAGGGGACUGCGUCCCAUUAGUUAGUUGGUGGGGUAAUGGCCUACCAAGACUCCGAUGGGUAGCUGGCUUGAGAGAGCGACCAGCCACACUGGAACUGAGACACGGUCCAGACUCCUACGGGAGGCAGCAGUGAGGAAUUUUCCGCAAUGGGGGAAACCCUGACGGAGCGACGCCGCGUGUGGGAAGAAGGCCUUCGGGUCGUAAACCACUGUCGAGGGGGACGAUAUUGACGGUACCCCUGGACGGAAGCCCCGGCUAACUACGCGCCAGCAGCCGC
rnacentral:rRNA from 1 species